GGCCGGCAGGGAGCAGCGAUGUUGAGAAGGAAUUUUAUCCUUCUACCAAAAAGUUCUCCAGAAAACCUUCCUGCCUUAGUAGUGGACCGUGCAGAAAAUAAUGGAGUCACUAAUGGUUGACUCACCCUUAGAAAACCUACAUCAGCCUGCAAUUAUCCUCUUAUUUGUGAGCUCAUUGGAAUCAUGGCUUCCACCUCCAGACAAGGCCUGGUCAGGUGUUGCUCCCCGUAGUGACCCCAGACGUCAGCACCGAACCCAGUUCAGAAAGCUCUUCAGUGUCCGGCCACUAAUAAUCAUGCCAAGACCCUCUGUUGGCUCUGCUCCACCCUGGGACAGUCAACCAUCUGCUGGGAGCAGGCAUGGCAGGUGCCCACGUGACCGGGUUCGCAUCAGCAGAGGGGAGGACUGACGAGCGUUCUCGAACACCAGGGCCAGUGACGUGGUGAAGAGAGACCUGAUCUAAGGAAAGAGGAAGCAGCUCCAGAGAACCAGCAGCACGGGUGGAAGCAGCAGUGGGAAACCCCAGCUGCUCUGUGGAAAGCCGAGGCUGGCGCUCCGUUCAUCGGAGCAGAAGUGACAUCACAGAAAGCACACGAGGUUGGAUAAAACAGAAGGACAAGGAAAUCACUGCAUUCUCAAGGUCAUCCAAUAUAUCAGAAUUGAUGGAGUCCUGCCUGACUCACCUGCUAUGAGAAUACGCAGCUGCAUCACCCACCUGGGUUUAUUCAACUUAGAUGAUGAAGUCACUCAUAUAUGAAACAAGGAACCCUGGAAUUCAUGAACAUAUUUAUCUUUGAUUAGCAAGAGCCUCUUUCAUAUCAAUAGGAAAUGAAACCAUAAGAAAAAACUACCUGAAGUACUCGAGACAGGAACUGCUGUAUCAUAAUGACUGUGUUCCCAUAGUGAUCUCACAAGAUAUGCAAAAACCUGGGGCCACUUUGCAGUCAGCACACAACUAUGGAUUGAUAAUGAGCCUGUUGGUGGAUGGUGGGAGUCUGCCUGUAGCUGGAAAAUCCUUGCAGCAGGUAAAAACAUUCACCAGUAACAGGAUGCUGAAAGCUGCCAUAGAACUCUGCUGUCUUGAAAGUACCCUGAUGCACAACUGUCAAAGAUUUUGAAACACAGGAUAAAAAAAAUAAAAAUUGAACAAUGUGGAGAUGAGCAACUUUGUAUGGUGCCAAGUUCAUGAUCAACCUCCAGACC